UUGUCGGAGUGCCCUGAGGGCUGAGAUUGCACUAGCAGAAUCCGCUUACCUGAUCAGGUUAAUACCUGCGUAGGGAACAAGAGUU
rnacentral:ncRNA from 1 species